AAAUGAAGUGUGGCUGGCAGAAUUGAUGCUCCCUUGCACUAUAUCCAGAAGAGAUCAGAAGCCCAAUAAGCAGGAGACAGUUUCCUGAUUUUCACCCCAGCACUAGAGUUCCAGCUACCAGCAUGAUGUCACCAAACACAGAGCUGGAACAAGAUAUGCAAGGGUCACCAUUAUGAAGUCUUUCCACCAGACAGAUGCCACAGAUGCAAAUAACCUGAAGAUCACAGAUGAUACAGCAUGGUGAAAUAUCGGGGUGAGAAGAUGCUUCAUUGAUCAUGAGAAACAGAACAGACCUGGACUGAAGCCAUAGCCUGAACCAAAGCCAGCAAACCAUUG